UACGGAGGGUGCGAGCGUUAUCCGGAAUUACUGGGUUUAAAGGGUGCGUAGGCGGCCAAGUAAGUCAGGAGUGAAAGUUUGCGGCUCAACCGUAAAAUUGCCUUUGAUACUGCUAGGCUAGAAUUAGGAUGAGGUCAGCGGAAUGUGGCAUGUAGCGGUGAAAUGCAUAGAUAUGCCAUAGAACACCAAUUGCGAAGGCAGCUGGCUAGACCUACAUUGACGCUGAGGCACGAAAGCGUGGGGAGCGAACAGG
rnacentral:rRNA from 1 species